CCUAUCUCUCCAACGCCAAGUCCGGUGGCGCCAACACCGACCCGUGUGGUUCCGACGCCAGCACCCACCCCUGUCUCUCCGUCGCCAACCCUGGUGACCCCAACACAGGCCCCUGCGAUGCCGCCAACACCAACAUCGGUGACUCCGAUGCCAGCACCGACCCCUGUUUCUCCAACGCCAACUCCGGUGGCCCCAACACCGACUCCUAUGAUACCGCCAUCACCAACCCUUGUGACUCCGAUGCCAGCACCAACCCCUGUCUCUCCAACGCCAAUCCCGAUGGCCCCAACACCGACCCUCGUGAUGCCGCCAGCACCCACCCCUGUGACUCCGACGCCACCCCCAGCCCCGGCCCCAGCGCCGGCUACAUCGACCGGCAAGUGCCCCGUGGACACACUGAAGCUACUUGCGUGCGUGGACGCGCUCAAUGGGCUGUUGCACGCGGUGAUCGGCAGUAGCGCCAGGAAUACAUGCUGCCCGCUGCUGUCCGGCGUUGCCGACCUCGACGCUGCUCUCUGCCUUUGCACCACCAUCAAGGUCAAGGCCCUCAACAUCAACCUCAUGCUGCCCAUCGCCAUCGAGGUGCUCGUCAACCAGUGCGGCAAGAGAGUGCCGAAAGACUUCCGCUGCCCUAAUUAA
rnacentral:rRNA from 1 species